rnacentral:rRNA from 1 species
UACGGGGGGAGCAAGCGUUGUUCGGAUUUACUGGGCGUAAAGGGCACGUAGGCGGCCACCGCAAGUCAGUUGUGAAAUCUCUGGGCUUAACCCAGAACGGUCAGCUGAUACUGCGGGGCUAGAGUGCAGAAGGGGCAACUGGAAUUCUCGGUGUAGCGGUGAAAUGCGUAGAUAUCGAGAGGAACACCUGCGGCGAAGGCGGGUUGCUGGGCUGACACUGACGCUGACAGCGCGAAAGCUAGGGGAGCGAACGGG